rnacentral:rRNA from 1 species
GUGGGGAAUAUUGCGCAAUGGGCGAAAGCCUGACGCAGCGACGCCGCGUGGAGGAUGAAGGUCUUCGGAUUGUAAACUCCUGUCAUGCGUGAACAAGGUUGCUUGGUUAAUACCUGGGCAAAUUGAUGGUAACGCAAGAGGAAGAGACGGCUAACUCUGUGCCAGCAGCCGCGGUAAUACAGAGGUCUCAAGCGUUGUUCGGAAUCACUGGGCGUAAAGGGUGCGUAGGUGGCGUGGUAAGUCAGAUGUGAAAGCCCGGGGCUCAACCUCGGAACUGCAUCCGAUACUGCCAUGCUAGAGUACUGGAGAGGUGACUAGAAUUCUCGGUGUAGCAGUGAAAUGCGUAGAUAUCGAGAGGAAUACCAAAGGCGUAGGCAGGUCACUGGACAGUUACUGACACUGAGGCACGAAGGCCAGGGGAGCGAACGGGAUUAGAUACCCUUGUAGUCC